GAUCAGUAGGGGUUCUGAGAGGAAGGUCCCCCACAUUGGAACUGAGACACGGUCCAAACUCCUACGGGAGGCAGCAGUGAGGAAUAUUGGUCAAUGGGCGAGAGCCUGAACCAGCCAAGUAGCGUGCAGGAUGACGGCCCUAUGGGUUGUAAACUGCUUUUAUAAGGGAAUAAAGUGAGCCUCGUGAGGCUUUUUGCAUGUACCUUAUGAAUAAGGACCGGCUAAUUCCGUGCCAGCAGCCGCGGUAAUACGGAAGGUCCGGGCGUUAUCCGGAUUUAUUGGGUUUAAAGGGAGCGUAGGCCGGAGAUUAAGCGUGUUGUGAAAUGUAGAUGCUCAACAUCUGCACUGCAGCGCGAACUGGUUUCCUUGAGUACGCACAAAGUGGGCGGAAUUCGUGGUGUAGCGGUGAAAUGCUUAGAUAUCACGAAGAACUCCGAUUGCGAAGGCAGCUCACUGGAGCGCAACUGACGCUGAAGCUCGAAAGUGCGGGUAUCGAACAGGAUUAGAUACCCUGGUAGUCCGCACGGUAAACGAUGGAUGCCCGCUGUUGGUCUGAAUAGGUCAGCGGCCAAGCGAAAGCAUUAAGCAUCCCACCUGGGGAGUA
rnacentral:rRNA from 1 species